AUUGAACGCUGGCGGCAGGCCUAACACAUGCAAGUCGAACGAGCGGCGGACGGGUGAGUAAUGUAUGGGGACUGCCCGAUAGAGGGGGAUAACUACUGGAAACGGUGGCUAAUACCGCAUACUAUCGGAUAACCCAUAUGGGAUUAGCUAGUAGGUGGGGUAAAGGCUCACCAAGGCGACGAUACCUAGCUGGUCUGAGAGGAUGAACAGCCACACUGGACCGGAGACACGGCCCAGACUCCUAGGGAGGCAGCAGGGGGGAAUAUUGCACAAUGGGCGCAAGCCUGAUGCAGCCAUGCCGCGUGUAGGAAGAAGGCCUUAGGGUUGUAAAGUACUUUCAGCGGGGAGGCGUUACCCGCAGAAGAAGCACCGGCUAACUCCGUGCCAGCAGCCGCGGUAAUAC
rnacentral:rRNA from 1 species